UGUGAGACUCCCGGGUACAAGUCCUUUCUGUGUCCCCUGUUUCUUGUUUGUAGGAAAUAGGCUUCAUUCAGCCUCCAUGACCUUCCCUGAGUUCCAGUGGGCAGGUCCAAACAGGAGCUCAACAGGGAAGGGAGGUGAUGCAGAGACCAGGGAGGAGCAGUCAAGAAAGAGCAGUGCACCCGUGGGGCGGGUCCCGGUUCCUGCUGAAGGAAUAUAGGUAAUGAUGUCUCGGAGUUCUCCUGCGGGAACUAAGGCCCCCACUCAGGUGGAGGAAGGUAGCUUCAGGCUGAGCGCAGGAGUCCUGGGCACCGGCCCGUUGCCUCACCACCAACCAAUUUGAAGAAAGUCACACACCCGGCAGCCCUCACCCCAAAUGUUGCCUAUAAAAACUUCUCCUCCCCCAAACCAUCAGGGAGUUCAGGAUUUUUUCAACACAAGCCACCCGUUCCCCUUGCUUGGCCCUGCAAUAAACACUUCUCUGCUCCAAACUCUGACGUUGUAGUUUGUUUGGUGCCGAGACCAGCUCGGCGACCUGAGUUGGUGCCGUGACUUGGAUGGGUUGGACCUGGUCUUGGGAUCUGCAUUUUCCCCGCCUGGGUGACGAGGUUCUCGGGCCCUCUGUGCUCUGUUCCUGCCAGGGCACCCAGGGAUGACCACAUGUCUACGUGACACAAGGUGGUGAGGACCCAGGACUCCAGCUCCGAAGCAGGAGGACCAGCAGAGGCAGCAGGGGCUUGCGGCUGCUGUCUCCCUGCAGCAGGUGGAUUUCAUCCAUGCGUUCUGAGGUCACAUUCCCAUGACUAAGACGGCUCUGCCCACGAGAGCGGAGGUGACACGUGGCUGGAUGCUGGUGCAUGUGGCGCUCCUGUUUGCUGGGCUUCCUGGGUGGUCCUUUCCAGCCAGCCUUCGUGGCCUCAGGACCUUAGCCUAGGGUUGCAGAAGUGAAGUGAAACCGUUCCUUGGGGGCAGGCAGUCUUCUAGCUCCACCCCCAAAGUAUCUUUGCUACCCACUUAGGUUUGGAGUUGGUGGUUUCUUUCACCUCUGCCAGCUUCAUGCUUUGCAAAUUCGUGUCGCUCCUGCUUCAAGUUAGCUUUCUAAAUAUUGAUGAGGUCCCCAUCUCUUGCUUCAGUGAGGCGGCUUAAUCUGCUCAGGUGUUUUUAGGGCUUAGAAAGCCCCUU